rnacentral:lncRNA from 1 species
UUCUAAACCACGGAUAUCGGGUCCAGAGGCACUAAUUGGAAGCCUGGUCAAGCUUGAGCCGUUUGAUUUCCCCGGCAUGAUUGUAAAGCAAGCAACUGAUAGCUCCCUCACGGUUCAAGCUUCUUCUCCUAGUGACAAAGGAGCUUCUAGCUUUCGGUUAGUAUCUGGAGUUGAUGGGAAGCCAGGAAGCGUGUCGUUAAGACUAGAGAGCAAAAAGGGUUGUUUUGUGUACAGCGAUCAAACACUAAAGCAGGGGACGAAACUAAGGCUUGAAUGUGGUUCGGCUGCGACUGAUGAGAAGUUUAAAGAGGCAGCAAGCUUUAAGUUAAAGACAGGAAUGAAUCAAUACAAUCCAAUGAGUUUUGUGAUGAGCGGAACACAGAGGAACUUUGUGUUAUCGCCAUUGUUUAGCUUAAGAGAUGAAACAUACAAUGUGUACUUCAGUGUGCAAACUUGAAGAAAGAAACCCUCUUAAAAUUCUUUUAAGGUACAUUGGGAGAAAAAAUAAGAAAAAAAGUCUCAUUUGAAAUAUAUAUAGACAUGUGUUUAGAUGUUUAGCCUCUUAUUAGGUGGUUUGUGACUUUUGUGUUUUGCAAUUUCAUCUAAAAAUGUAUGUUGCUGUUACAUUAAAUAUAGACAAAUGUGUUUUUUAUAAAUUGUGCUAACGAUGAAUCCAUGUCUUUCUUUAUAUUCUAAAUAAAGAGUGGAGACUAGUUUGUUGCCGUGAAUCAUAGUCAGUGCAUUCAUGAAAUAAUAUUCUCAUAUGUGAUAGAAAUGUGUGUUUAGACAGAAAGUAUAUUUGUAUUUGAAAGAUGGAAGUGGCUAGCAGCUCCAUUUGUAUUUUGCUUGUGAAUUUGUGUCUCACGUUUGGAAAGCUCUAGCAAUAUGCCUCUACAAGACCAUCUACUCAAAGGACCGAAGUGAGAUAUUUGGGUUAUUGCCGUCGUAGAGACGAGCUUCUUCUGGUGUAUGGUUACAUGCCCAAUGGAAGUAUUUGUACGAUUGUCCUGAGGUAACACUUGAUUGGAAACAGAGGUUUAAUGUAAUUAUAGGUGUGGCCUCUGGCUUAUCCUAUCUCCCCGAGACAUCAAAGCCAGCAACGUUUUGGCAUUACAUUUUGUGAAAUUGCCUAAGAAGACUACAAAACCCAUUACUAUCUAUCUGAUGAUGAUGAUUUGCGAACAUGAAUCAUCUGGUUAACCGGUGGUUAUUGGAGGUAACCGAAGACUACAACUUGAGCCGGAGUUGGUUUGAGAAUUACAAAAUACAAUUAUCAUCUACUUGAAACCUCUGCUUCUCUCAGAGGUGUUAGCUUCUUCUUCAUGAUAUCAGACAUUACGGAUGCAGAGUCUAUGUGCUCCUCCUCGAAACCAAUCGAUCAGGCAAGCAAUUUCUCUCAUUGUCUACUUAAAGAGUUCAUUUUUCCCAGCAGAUUAUCCUCGGAAUCGCUGAUGUUUGUGUCUCGACUUUCUCUUAGGCAUUUCGUCGAAUCCCUUGAUCAAAAAGUUUCUUGAAGAAAUUUGACAAAAAGCUUUCUAAUUUCUGCGACAAAUCCUGUCCUCAGCCAUUAUGAGACACCAGGCGGCGAUGAGCAUUGUAGAGUACAUGCUCGAUGUUGACUCCCACAUGUGGAGCAUGAGGAGGAGUAAAGCUAACUUCUUCGUUGGUGAUGGUGUUUCGAGGAAAACCAUAAAUAGCCCACUGAUCUCAUAUCUCUCGAAAAACUUGUUCUUUUUUUACAACAAAACCGCGAAUAGCAUCCUCUGUUUUUAUCUAAAUCCUCUCUGUUUUUCUCUUCCACGUUAUUGAAUUCUAUUUUUAGCAGACAUUACUUUAAUCUUUAGAAUUCCUUUUUUUGGCAGACAUUGCUUUAAUCUUUACAGCUCUUUUCCUUUAUAAAUAUCUUCUCUUCUUCCAAUUCAAAUCUCAUCCCCUAACUAUUUUAUGAGUCUUGAGGCUCUUGGAUUCUGAAAAUUUGGGAUCUUAGGGUUUCGGGUUUUCAACCAUCUCUUUUUUUGGUGUCUUUUAAGGCAAAAAAAGAUACGAUGAAGUCUGGUGUCAUCAUAACCAUUGCUCUGUUAUUAUUCACAAGCUUUGUUCUUGUUUGUGUAGCGAAAGAGUGUACAGACAUUCCUACCAAGCUCUCAUCGCAUACUUUGCGCAGCGAGCUUCUGCAAUCACAGAACGAAACUUUGAAGACAGAGUUGUCCUCUCAUUACCAUUUAACUCCAACUGAUGACGCCGCUUGGUCUACUUUGUUGCCAAGGAAGAUGUUGAAAGAAGAGACGGAUGAUUUCGCUUGGACUAUGUUGUAUAGGAAGUUCAAGGACUCUAAUUCCUCUGGUAACUUUCUCAAGGACGUCUCUUUGCACGACGUUAGGCUCGACCCCAGCUCCUUUCAUUGGAGGGCUCAGCAGACAAACCUUGAGUAUCUAUUGAUGUUGAAUGUUGAUGGUUUGGCCUAUAGCUUCCGUAAAGUUGCUGGUCUUGAUGCUCCUGGAGUUCCCUAUGGAGGAUGGGAGAAACCAGAUAGUGAACUCCGUGGCCAUUUUGUCGGUAUAAACCUCUGCCUUUUUCCUCAAUUCGAUACAAUUUCUUGAUUCAUGUUGUUGAUAGUAUGCAAGAAAAGGUUUUGAGAUUUGAUGUUUGGUACAUAGAUUGAUUAGACCCUUAAGAUUGCAUAGGCCCUUAAAGGAAUCACCUUUUGACAUUUCAUAGACCCUUGAAAGGAUUUUCAACCUUAAAGGAAUGACCUUUUAGUUGAUGGCUCAAAAAUCUCUCUCUGUUUGUUUUGAAGGUCACUAUUUGAGUGCAACAGCUUAUAUGUGGGCAAGUACUCAUAAUGAUACUCUCAAGACGAAAAUGUCAGCUCUUGUCUCUGCUUUAGCGGAAUGCCAGCAAAAAUCUGGCACAGGAUAUCUCUCUGCUUUUCCUUCCAGUUUUUUCGACCGGUUUGAAGCUAUAACACAUGUUUGGGCUCCUUACUACACCAUUCACAAGGUGAAUAGUCAGACCCUUUGACUGAGAUGUAGAUUGAUAUGCUUAUGUUUUGCAAAAGAGUAACAUCUCUGUCUUAAUUUUGACAGAUUUUGGCCGGCCUGGUGGAUCAAUAUAAGUUGGCUGGGAAUACUCAAGCUUUAAAGAUGGCAACAGGGAUGGCUGAUUACUUUUAUGGCCGUGUUCAAAAUGUGAUAAGGAAGUACAGUGUUGAACGACAUUGGCUAUCACUAAACGAAGAGACUGGUGGCAUGAAUGAUGUUCUUUAUCAGCUAUACAGCAUCACUGUGAGUUAAAAUCUUAUCAGACUCUAAAAAGCAACCUUAGAUUUGUGUUAUAUCUAGCUUUGUGUUAUAUCAUAGUGUUUUGGACUCUGCAGCGAGAUUCCAAGUAUUUGUUUCUCGCACAUCUCUUUGACAAGCCUUGCUUUCUCGGGGUCCUCGCAAUUCAGGUAGGUUACUUGAUGAUUAGCUUGAAGAGAUGUGAAUGGUAAGGUCACAUAACUUGACAUGCAUUUUUGCAGGCCGAUGAUAUUAGUGGAUUCCACGCUAAUACACAUAUUCCCAUCGUCGUUGGAUCCCAACAACGAUAUGAAAUCACUGGUGAUCUACUCCAUAAGGUAUUGAAGUGUAACCAAGAAAAGUUUAUCAAAGAAGAUAUUGGUUCUCUUGAUUCUGAAAUAUGCAUUUCCAGGAAAUCUCGAUGUUCUUUAUGGACAUAGUUAAUGCUUCUCACAGCUAUGCAACUGGAGGAACAUCAGUCAAAGAGUUCUGGUACUACCAUUACCUGACGUUAGAGUUUGGUUCUUUGUAACAUGACUUUUUGUUUUAAGUCUUAACCAUGUUUUGGGAAUGUUAACAUUAGGCAAGAUCCAAAGAGAAUGGCGACUACACUGCAAACUGAAAACGAGGAAUCAUGUACUACUUAUAACAUGCUCAAGGUAGGAUUUUAAACUCUUUUUAUUUGCUCAAGGUAACAUACUAACAUAUGAACACUUCUACAACUUCAGGUCUCUAGGAAUCUGUUCAGAUGGACAAAAGAGGUUAGCUAUGCAGACUAUUACGAGCGCGCUUUGACCAACGGUGUGCUUGGAAUUCAAAGAGGAACCCAACCCGGACGGAUGAUCUACAUGCUCCCAUUAGGUCAAGGUGUUUCUAAGGCUGUGACUUAUCACGGUUGGGGAACACCUUAUGAUUCCUUCUGGUGUUGCUAUGGCACUGGUAAACUUUUAACCACAAUCAUCUGGUUUUCUACAUUUUUUUUAAGAUACAAAAAUCAGAUAAAUUGUGAGGGUAAUCAUUGUUUUGUUUAUUUCCAUAGGAAUUGAAUCCUUUUCAAAACUGGGAGAUUCCAUAUAUUUUCAAGAAGAUGGUGCAUCUCCAGCUCUUUAUGUCACCCAAUAUAUAUCAAGCUCACUUGAUUGGAAAUCUGCUGGUCUUUUGCUAUCUCAGAAAGUUAAUCCUGUUGUGUCGUGGGAUCCGUACAUGCGUGUGACAUUCACUCUUUCUUCUUCCAAAGUGGUAAAACUUGUGCAGAACAUGAUGUAACAUGUUCCAUUGAAGAAAGAGUCUGAUGGAUCCAAUUUUCUUGCAGGGAGUGGCGAAGAAGUCGACUUUGAAUCUAAGAAUUCCUGUUUGGACUAACUCUAUAGGUGCCAAAGUAUCUUUGAAUGGGAAACCCUUAAAAGUACCAACUUCAGGUGAUUUGAGCAUUGUGUAUUGUAACCUUUCUAUAUCACCGGAAUUGAACAAAAGUUUACUAAUAAUCAGGUAGUUUGAUUAUUGUGUAUUGGAACUGUCUUGUUCUUUGUAGGUAAUUUCCUAUCGAUCAAACAGAACUGGAAAUCUGGCGAUCAAGUAACCAUGGAGCUACCAAUGAGUAUCAGAACCGAAGCUAUAAAAGGUAACACAAUUACACUGUGUAGAGUUUGUUAAGUUAAAAUGGUUCUUGAUCAUUGUGUAUAAAUUGUAUGCAACUCUGUUUUUACAAAGCAAUAACAACAGAAACUAAUUUUUACAAUAUUUUGUGAUUAUUUCAGAUGAUCGUCCGGAGUACGCAUCUCUUCAAGCCAUACUCUAUGGCCCCUACUUGUUAGCCGGACACACGAGCAGGGACUGGAGCAUCACAACUCAGGCUAAAGCUGGAAAUUGGAUAACCCCUAUACCUGAAACUUAUAACAGUCACCUUGUCACACUCUCACAACAAUCUGGAAACAUAUCUUACGUGUUGUCAAAUACCAACCAAACCAUCACAAUGAGGGUAUCACCCGAGCUAGGGACACAAGAUGCCGUUGCAGCGACUUUCAGGCUCGUGACUGAUAAUUCUAAACCACGGAUAUCGGGUCCAGAGGCACUAAUUGGAAGCCUGGUCAUGCUUGAGCCGUUUGAUUUCCCUGGCAUGAUUGUAAAGCAAGCAACUGAUAGCUCCCUCACGGUUCAAGCUUCUUCUCCUAGUGACAAAGGAGCUUCUAGCUUUCGGUUAGUAUCUGGAGUUGAUGGGAAGCCAGGAAGCGUGUCGUUAAGACUAGAGAGCAACAAUGGUUGUUUUGUGUACAGCGAUCAAACACUAAAGCAGGGGACGAAACUAAAGCUUGAAUGUGGUCCGGUUGCGACUGAUGAGAAGUUUAAAGAGGCAGCAAGCUUUAAGUUAAACACAGGAAUGAAUCAAUACAAUCCAAUGAGUUUUGUGAUGAGCGGAACACAGAGGAACUUUGU